rnacentral:lncRNA from 1 species
UAGACGCCAAGGAGGAAACAUCGUAAGCAAAAAAUCAUGCCAGACAAUUGUAGAGUGGAAGGGAUACAUAUAUGAAGUAAGGAAAGGCUGCAAAAAUCCGACAGCUAAUGCGAAGUUAGGAUACAAGAAGGCGGGCCAAAAGGUUUUAUGUCGAUACGAAUGCACGGGAAAGUUAUGCAAUGAACCUCUCCCAGCAAGAGAUUUGGACAAGUAGGUAGUCGCAGUUGAAAAAAAGACACUAAUGAAGUGGACACCAAACCGUUAACCUCCAAACUGUUAAUUUUCUGUUACAAAAUUCAUGGAUAUUUAAUCAUUUUAUUCUCAUUUUAAGGUAUUUUUGUGUUCCAGAUGAAUAUUUUUCCUUGUAUUUCUGACUCGCUACAGAGUGACAUUAUGUUAACCACAUAUGACAGUGUUUUGAAACUUUGUCAGGUGUUGAACAAAACAAAAAGUGAUAAUAGAUAUUUUUGUAACCAGUGUAGAUUCUCUUUCCUCUAGUAUUUUUUUACUUUGAGAGAAAACUGUUACAAUAAAUUUUAUUGCUUACAAUUUUCAUGGAAUAAAAUGUAAUUCAUUUCUGUUGUCAUUCUAGUUGAAUAAAAGCUAUUGUCAUAGUAACACUCCUAGUGACUGAAUAGCAGGACUGCAUUCCUAGAUGGAUAUUUGUUUCAGUGAAAUAAUCGAAAUAUCAGUUCCAACAUUUUACGAGCUGCGUAGUCAAGAAAGAGUAAAUUGUUAAUUUUGUUAAUCAUAAUUGGUUUGCUAUCAAAAUAAAAACAA